GAUUAACGCUGGCGGCGUGCCUAACACAUGCAAGUCGAGCGGCAGCGAGUUUUACACUGAAUUCUGGAAGCUUCUAGUUGAAAGAGAAGAUUUAUUCAAGAAUUUUGUGUAAAGUGUCGGCGAGCGGCGGACGGCUGAGUAACGCGUGGGAACGUACCCCCAAGUGAGGGAUUACGCAUCGAAAGGUGUGCUAGUACCGCAUAUGGUCUUCGGAUUAAAGCCUUCGGGCGCUGUGGGAACGGCCUGCGUAAGAUUAGAUGGUUGGUGGGGUAAUGGCCUACCAAGUCGACGAUCUUUACCUGGGUUGAGAGGAUGAUCAGUCAGACUGGAACUGAGACACGGUCCAGACUCCUACGGGAGGCAGCAGUGAGGAAUCUUCCACAAUGGGCGAAAGCCUGAUGGAGCAACGCCGCGUGCAGGAUGAAGGCCUUCGGGUUGUAAACUGCUUUUAUAAGUGAGGAUUAUGACAGUAACUUAUGAAUAAGGAUCGGCUAACUACGUG
rnacentral:rRNA from 1 species